UACGUAGGGUGCAGGCGUUAAUCGGAAUUACUGGGCGUAAAGGGCGCGUAGGCGGCAAUUCAAGUCAGCUGUGAAAUCUCCGGGCUUAACUCGGAACGGUCAGCUGAUACUGCUUUGCUAGAGUGCGGAAGGGGCAAUCGGAAUUCUCGGUGUAGCGGUGAAAUGCGUAGAUAUCGAGAGGAACACCUGAGGUGAAGACGGGUUGCUGGGCCGACACUGACGCUGAGGCGCGAAAGCCAGGGUAGCAAACGGG
rnacentral:rRNA from 1 species